rnacentral:rRNA from 1 species
AUGGCUCAGGAUGAACGUUGGCGGCGUGCUUAACACAUGCAAGUCGAACGGAGUAAUAUGAAGUUUCGGACAGAUUACUACUUAGUGGCGGACGGGUGAGUAACGCGUGGGUAACCUACCUCAGUACAGGGGGGAUAACAGUUGGAAACGACUGCUAACACCGCAUAACAAGUUGGGACCGCAUGAUCCUAACUUCAAAGUAUUUAGUAGGUAUGAGAUGGGCCCGCGUCUGAUUAGCUAGUUGGUGGGGUAAUGGCCUACCAAGGCGACGAUCAGUAGCCGGCUUGAGAGAGUGACCGGCCACAUUGGGACUGAGACACGGCCCAAACUCCUACGGGAGGCAGCAGUGGGGAAUAUUGGACAAUGGGGGCAACCCUGAUCCAGCCGACGCCGCGUGAGUGAAGAAGUAUUUCGGUAUGUAAAGCUCUAUCAGCAGGGAAGAUAAUGACAGUACCUGACUAAGAAGCCCCGGCUAACUACGUGCCAGCCGCCGC